GGAGAGCUGACCGAGUGGCUGAAGGUGCUUGCCUGCUAAGCGAGUAUAGUCCAAAAGACUAUCUGGGGUUCGAAUCCCCAGCUCUCCGCCA
rnacentral:tRNA from 1 species